rnacentral:rRNA from 1 species
AUUGAACGCUGGCGGAAUGCUUUACACAUGCAAGUCGAACGGCAGCACGGGGGCAACCCUGGUGGCGAGUGGCGAACGGGUGAGUAAUACAUCGGAACGUGCCCAGUCGUGGGGGAUAACGUAGCGAAAGCUACGCUAAUACCGCAUACGAACUCUGGUUGAAAGCGGGGGAUCGCAAGACCUCGCGCGAUUGGAGCGGC